rnacentral:rRNA from 1 species
UACGUAGGGCGCAAGCGUUGUCCGGAAUUAUUGGGCGUAAAGAGCGCGUAGGCGGCUUGUCAAGUCUGCUGUGAAAACCUAAGGCUCAACCUUGGGCUUGCAGUGGGUACGGGCAGACUAGAGUGCGGUAGGGGUGACUGGAAUUCCUGGUGUAGCGGUGGAAUGCGCAGAUAUCAGGAGGAACACCGAUGGCGAAGGCAGGUCACUGGGCCGCAACUGACGCUGAGGAGCGAAAGCAUGGGGAGCGAACAGG